rnacentral:rRNA from 1 species
CCUACGGGAGGCAGCAGUAGGGAAUCUUUCACAAUGGGCGAAAGCCUGAUGGCGCAACGCCGCGUGCAGUAUGAAGGCCUUCGGGUUGUAAACUGCUUUUAUCAGCGAGAAAUAUGAUGGUAACUUAUGAAUAAGGAUCGGCUAACUACGUGCCAGCAGCCGCGGUCAUACGUAGGAUCCGAGCAUUAUCCGGAGUGACUGGGUGUAAAGAGUUGCGUAGGUGGCAUAAUAAGUAGCUAGUGAAAUCUGGUGGCUCAACCAUUCAGACUAUUAGCUAAACUGUUAAGCUCGAGACCGUUAGGGGUAACUGGAAUGUCUAGUGUAGGAGUGAAAUCCGUAGAUAUUAGAAGGAACACCAAUAGCGUAGGCAGGUUGCUGGGACGGUUCUGACACUAAGGCACGAAAGCGUAGGGAGCAAACGGGAUUAGAUACCCUUGUAGUC